AAAUUUGCGAAGUUUUUUCGGUUUCGGCGCCAUUUUCGAGUGGACUCGGAGGAGUCGGGCUUCCAGAUCUGUCCCUUGUUGUUUAAAACUGGAUGAGAUGACAAUGCAAAAAAAUGGAAGUAACAAGAAGCAUCAUACUUUUCUUCUCCUCAGCAGUGUUGAGAAAAAACUCUGGAUCCUGGAAUUUUACUGUGGAUUUUACUGGUUUUCUGGAGUACUUUCCCCUUGAAACAGCGAUUGCCUUGUGUCCAGGGAGAGCCGAGGCAGAGGGAGCCGGCGCGCCUGCGCUCAAAGUUACAGACUUUCUGAUAAGACCCGUGAAGAAAAAAAAAUGUCCCGUUGGUGGUAAUGCAUGCACGUUAAAUGUCUUCAUUGUAGAGUGUUCUUCAGUACCUUAUAUCAUGGUUUAAAAAAAAAAUAUAUAUAUAUAUUCAAAAUACCAUUUGGAAUGUCAACAUUCAGUGGGCUUUGAGGAGAUGUAGCAGCACAUCAUGGUUUGUAGGGACAAGGAGAUACAGACCAUUCUGGGCUGCCUCAUUACCUCAAGGAUAAGACAAGAAAGUGAGCUUCUGGUUAUCAUAGAUGUGGAAGCUAGCACAUUCCCAUGUAUCUCUUUAGUUCAGUUGAACAGGUAUGUGUAGCUAAGUCCUCUUGGUGCUUGUACCCGUGCACAUCCUUUGCAGCCACAAAUAUAUUCCCUGUGAGUUUGUGCGUGUGUGGGUCUCAGCGGGGCUGGCCCUGCAGGCAGGAACGACUUGUAGCUCCUUUUUGUUCUCCAGCAUGGGCACAGCCAACGCUGGCUUGAGCACCAUGCCUUCAGCUGGCCCCUUACCCCUCACCUAUUGCUCUGCGGUCCUUUCCCGGGCAAAGGAUCCCCUGGGGAGGGGGGGGAAGGGGGGGUUCUGGAGGCCGUGGAGUGGCACUAGGAUGGAGAGCUGUCAGCAGUGCUCUAGCAGCACGUAAAUACUGGAGUUUGGGAUUGCCUGUUGCUCUCCAGUAUUGCAUUGCUGCUUUAGUGAGGCUGGAAAUCGGUCCCUGCCGCAGGAGCUGGGGCUCUGGCUCUCGGGGUGCCUCCUCAGCACCCCCACGGUGCCUUCUACGCUGCUGCUUGGGGGCUCUUGUCUCCCACACCAAUAAACCACUGCGGAGGCA